AUUCAGAUGACGAGUUCCAAAUAGGGCGAAAUGCGCGUUCUGGAU
rnacentral:hammerhead_ribozyme from 1 species